UUGAACGCUGGCGGCAGGCCUAACACAUGCAAGUCGAGCGGAUGAAGGGAGCUUGCUCCUGGAUUCAGCGGCGGACGGGUGAGUAAUGCCUAGGAAUCUGCCUGGUAGUGGGGGAUAACGUCCGGAAACGGGCGCUAAUACCGCAUACGUCCUGAGGGAGAAAGUGGGGGAUCUUCGGACCUCACGCUAUCAGAUGAGCCUAGGUCGGAUUAGCUAGUUGGUGGGGUAAAGGCCUACCAAGGCGACGAUCCGUAACUGGUCUGAGAGGAUGAUCAGUCACACUGGAACUGAGACACGGUCCAGACUCCUACGGGAGGCAGCAGUGGGGAAUAUUGGACAAUGGGCGAAAGCCUGAUCCAGCCAUGCCGCGUGUGUGAAGAAGGUCUUCGGAUUGUAAAGCACUUUAAGUUGGGAGGAAGGGCAGUAAGUUAAUACCUUGCUGUUUUGACGUUACCAACAGAAUAAGCACCGGCUAACUUCGCG
rnacentral:rRNA from 1 species